UGAGGAAUAUUGCACAAUGGGCGCAAGCCUGAUGCAGCAACGCCGCGUGAGGGACGAAGGCCUUCGGGUCGUAAACCUCUUUUCUGGGGGACGAGUAAGGACGGUACCCCAGGAAUAAGUCUCGGCUAACUACGUGCCAGCAGCCGCGGUAAAACGUAGGAGGCGAGCGUUAUCCGGAUUUACUGGGCGUAAAGCGUACGCAGGUGGCUUCGUUAGUCGGACAUGAAGGCUCGUGGCUUAACUGGG
rnacentral:rRNA from 1 species